UAAGACUCUAAGCUAAGAUUGUCAUCUUGUUACAAUAACUCCACCUAUUUUGAUUGCUCAAGUUCGUUAGGCUCAUUCAAUAAUAAUAAUAAUGGUCUGAUUGAUAAUAAAUGCGUGCAGCUAUGUGGCCGAACGGAUCCAGCGAUGGUGUUCUGGAAAGAAAGCAGAGCAGGAACCAGUGAGGCCUAUUAGUGAGCGCACCUGUGCCAUGAGAGGAGGAGGGGGUCAGCGGCAGCAACGCUGCCACACUGAAACUAAACAACCAUCACCUUACCAUGAUGUCAACAAUGGACAUGUAACAUGUGAUGAUGAUUUAGACAAGAAAAACUGAUAAUAUCUUCUCUUGGAGAUUUGGAAAAUUAUCUUCAAGAGAUUAAAUUUCUUAUUUUGUUCUAUUUAUUAAUUUAUCCCAAAAAAUUUUUUUGACAACUAAACGAUUAAAAUAAACUUAAGUAAAUUUGUAAUGAGACAAAAGUGCAAACUAAGACACAUUUACAUGAACUUUAAAGUAGGGAAAUUAUUUUAUUAACUUUCAAAUUUAGAAAAUUGUUCUUUUAACUUUUAAACUAAGAAAAUGUGUACAUGAACUUCUUUUAAAGUGUUUAGUGAGGUGAAGAAGAGAUACUUCAGAUAAUUCUCAACAGUUUUAAACUGUAUGAAGACCAAGCCUUAAAUGUUGUCACUUGAGAACUUUGGCUUGGACUGACAGCUUUUGGCUAGUUUUACCUUGAGAAUUAUGUGAUUUUUAACUUCUAAAAAUAAAAUAAAAUAUAGGUAUAAAGCAGGUAAAGUAACAUUUGUUGUUAGAUAUAGUUGUGUCAAAUAUUUCAGUGUUAAAUGUACUUGCACAGAUAAUUUUUUAGUAGGACAACAAUCGUUUUGUCUCUGAAAAAAUUGCUAAUGCAUUUUUAAAAUUCUGUGAUCUUUCCCAUUGCUAAGCAAUUCCAUAUUUGUUGAAGCUUUUUCUAAGCUAAGCUUUUAAAUAUUGCUAAAAUUGUUAUGUGCUACUAUAUAAAUAAUUUUUUGACAUAUUGCUUUUUUUAAAAUAAUGAAUAGUGACUUCUCCUUUACUGAAAUUUUGUUGAUAGAGAUAUUUGUAUUUAUUUUUUAAAUAUAUAAUUAGACUUACAUUACUGCAAUAGACAGUUGUUAUCUACAUGCAGCACUGUGUUGUUAUUUUUUUGUAAGACUGAAGAUAUUAAACUAUUUUUACAUAUACUGGAAUUUCAUUAAAAAAAUUAAAAAAUAGGAAAACGACCUACAUAGUAAAUACAAUAAUUUUAGUCACACCAUCCCAAAGGAAAUACAACGAUUAAAAUGUGUCAAUGUACUAUAUUAUUUAGUGAUAAGCUUUUAUUUUACGGCAAUAUUUAAUUUUACUAAACCAUCAAAAUAAUAUUUAAAAUACAUACGUGGCGAAACUUGUAUUUAUUUUGCUUAUCAACUUGUAAUUGUAAUUAUUACCAAACAAUAAAUAGUUGUUUUUUUCUACUUUUG